rnacentral:rRNA from 1 species
UACGAAGGGGGCUAGCGUUGCUCGGAAUCACUGGGCGUAAAGGGUGCGUAGGCGGUUUGAUAAGUCUGAUGUGAAAUCCCGCAGCUUAACUGCGGAACUGCAUUGGAAACUAUUUGACUAGAGGAAUGGAGGGGAGACUGGAAUUCUCGGUGUAGCAGUGAAAUGCGUAGAUAUCGAGAGGAACACCAGUGGCGAAGGCGAGUCUCUAGACAACUCCUGACACUGAGGCACGAAAGCUAGGGGAGCAAACAGG